CCCGGCCCUGUCCCCAGCGUCUGCAGGCUGCCCCAGGACGGUGCCCUGGAGCCUGAAGCAGGGAUGGGAGUUCAGAUGCCGGAACCCUGAGACUGGCACGAGGUGGAGUGUGAGGCGCUGCAGGCUGCUCCCUGUGGCCUCUCGGGCCUGAAGAGGGCCUCCUCUUCCUGUGCCUAUGUCCUGAUCGCCUCUUCCUUUUUAGGGCAAUGGGGAUAAGGCAAGUGCUAGACCACUGCGCUGCAUCCCAGCCCCUUUCAUUCUGAGGCAGUUCCCACCAAGUCCCCCAGACUGGCCUUGAACUGUGGUCCUCCGCCUCAGCCUCCUGAGUGGCGGCGAUGCCAGGCAUCUGUUCAGCAGUCUUCAGCACGCCCAGUGUGGCCUCUCGCCCAACAGCUGUGGGGCCCUGCGCUGUGUCCAGGUGUGGCUGAGCCCUUGGCCUGGAGCCUGCAGCUCUGCCACCCCUGUUCUGCCCCUAGGGACAGGGCUGCCUUCUUGGCCCUGCCUGGCCAUAUCUUCUCCUGGGGCCCUCAAGUGCCACCCAAGCCUCCUCUGUCCCUGUCCGUCCCCGCAUCUGCUCUGUCCGCUGGUGGCCCUGGCCAGCGCUGGUCCUCUCUGACCAUUGCCA
rnacentral:lncRNA from 1 species